UUAUACAGUUUUCUUAACAUCCUGACAAGACAAUUUGUUAUCAAGGGAAAAAGGACAAUGACAAGCCAUAUGUUGUAUAUUGCAUUUACCUUGAUGAUGGUCUGUGUGCUCACAGUCACUGCCCAGGAGAAGGAGGAAGGCUCCGAACCCUUUGAGGCGGAUUUAGGCGAACGUGCAACAAGCACCAAGGUUUGGUAUGACCCAGCUGGUUGUCAAAAGAAAUAUCCUUCGGCUCCGUAUAGAUGUGCAGGGGGUCUACGAUGCAUUAGCAAGGACUCGAUUUGCAAUGGUCGCAAAGCCUGUGGUGAUGGAAGCGAUGAAUGGAACUGUCAAUAAUGCAUAGAGUACAAACUAAAUUGUAAUCUGUUAGCAUAAUUUGAAUGCAUUAAAUCAAAUAUUUUUGGAAUGUC